GCCAGAGCCGGCACAUCGCGGAGCCCGUGCACACCGGGAGGCGGCCGCCUGGUCUCCCUUGCCCCCACCACCUCACUGGCUGCCUAAAGCCCAGAGAUGAGCCAGACCGCGACAGGCGGUUCCCUGCUGGCUUCAGAGGAGUAUCAAAAUUACACCUGCAGAUGCUCCUGGAAAUUCUUAGGCAUAUCCAAGGAGAGAUUGUAUGCAACGGUGAUUCCCAACUUGUAAAUUGCAUAAACAUCACCUGAGGAUUCCACAAUUCAGAAUUUGACUCAUUAGGUGGGCCUGGGAGUCUACAUUUCUAUCAAGCAUCCAGGAUGACAGUUAAGAAUCCAACAUAAAAUGAAGUCAUAAAGAGAUUCUCAGAACUGGAGGAGAGGGGAAACCUAUCUUCGUUCUGAACAGAAAAAGGCUGGGAUCUUAAGAAGAACAUUAUGCUACAUGAAAUAAACCAGA